rnacentral:rRNA from 1 species
AUUGAACGCUGGCGGAAUGCUUUACACAUGCAAGUCGGGCGGCAGCGCGGGGGCGAACCCUGGCGGCGAGCGGCGAACGGGUGAGUAAUACAUCGGAACGUGUCCUUGAGUGGGGGAUAGCUCGGCGAAAGCCGGAUUAAUACCGCAUAAGCUCUGAGGAGGAAAGCGGGGGACUGGUAACGGCCUCGCGCUGUUGGAGCGGCCGAUGUCGGAUUAGCUAGUUGGUGGGGUAAAGGCCCACCAAGGCGACGAUCCGUAGCUGGUCUGAGAGGAUGAUCAGCCACACUGGGACUGAGACACGGCCCAGACUCCUACGGGAGGCAGCAGUGGGGAAUCUUGCGCAAUGGGCGAAAGCCUGACGCAGCGACGCCGCGUGA